GAAGAGCUAUCCAAAACACUAGCACAAGUACCACGGUCCAAAGACUCACGCUCAACAGAAGAAGCCAACUCCCUGUAUAACCUGCAAAAACACAUCCAUCUAAAAAUAAGACUAAAAUAAUUGGAGACAAUCAUUGCGUGAUGAAUUAUGUACCCGAUAUAUGGCUCAACCUCUUCACAAUUGUGUAGCACAUACCAACUAGCUUGUCUAAUCAAAAUGAAGGAAUGAAGUCUUCGCUGCUCCAAGUACAUCAACAUUGCGCUGGAAAUAAGAUAAAGUGCCUUCUCAUAACAAAUCAGCAUUCUCCCUAUUCCUGC
rnacentral:lncRNA from 1 species